GGCCGGGUGUGAGACUAAUAAAAGACCGGGCUUGCCCGGGAAUACGUCCGCCGACUUUGGCCGGUUAUUAGCACCUGGCCGCCCACGG
rnacentral:ncRNA from 1 species